UUUUUUUUUUCAUUAAUCUUGUUAAAUUGCGUAAUUUGUAGAUUGAUUUAGAUGAAUUAUUUGCUAAUCUAGCUGAUUUGUGUUAAUGUAUUUGUUUAUCACUGAUUUGUGUAUGUGUACAUAUUAGUUGCAUUUCGAUUUUGUGUGUUAGUAGUUUUGUGUUUAAAAGUAUAUUUUCUUACUUCAUUUCGUAUUAUAUAUUUGUGUUUGAAUAAUGUAUAUUAGGUGUUCGAUCAAAAGCCUCUAAAAACUAUAUGAUUAAUUGCAGCAAUGACAAGACUUCCACUAACUAAAAGAAAUUAUAUUCGAAGAACGAGGAUUAUAUUAUAAUGAUGCGGCUGAAAAUGAUUGCUUUAGUAUCUUGAUAUUUGCAAAUGAUUGUUGUGUUAGGGACAAGGGUAACAUUGAGAUAAAUAUACUCCAUUUUUAAGAUGGAAAGAAUUCAUUAUGUUGAUAGGUUAGUUAAUUGAAGUGAUGAUACGUGUAUCAAAAACCUUCGGAUGAACAUAAGGACGUUUCUAUAUAUUAUACUUUAACGAUUUUGAGACAGAAUGACUGAAUUUAGAAGUCAAUGUUUAUCUACUAUAGUGAUUCAUUUGAGUUUUCUUAUUGGAAAACUUUGGAACUGGUAAACACUCAUUUACAUAUAAUCUGUUAUUUCAGACUAAGAUGGAAAAAGUGAAGGAGACCGGAGUACAAAUGCUAUACUCUUUGGCGUUUGCUUGAUUUAGAUUAUGAGCUAAUUAUACAUAUAUAUUAUAAUAUGGGCGUAUGAAUGUUUGAUUUCCUAUUAUUUGCUAAAUGAUUUGUUAUAUAUUUUCGUAUGAGCAUAUUUUUGUUCAACUGAUUUGCUUGCUUUGUGUAGUAUAUUUUGUGUUUUGACAAUGGAAUUCUAGAAAGGAUGAUAAUUAUCUAUUAUAUGUGUAUGAUAUGAGAAGUCUAGUGAUUCUGUUUCCUUAUUCUUUAAUGUUGUGUUUGGUUGGGGAGAAUGGAAUGGAAUGAGUAAAAAUACUUGGAAUUAAUAGAGAUAGGAAGAAAGUUUGAAAAGAUUUUGAGGGAAUGCAAAAUUGCUAUGAUGAGAUUGGAGAAGAAAUUGAGAAUAGGAGAGAAUGGAGCAUUCCAUCUCAAAUUGAAGGUGUGGUAUCUAGCCUAUGAUGUAAGGAAUGGAAUGGAGGAAAGAAUGAAAUUUCUUAAAAAUUGUCCAUGAGAUAGUUCAUUUUUCAUUCCAUUCCUUCCGGAAUCAUUCACCCCAACCAAACACAACAUAAAUUAUUAUUAAAAUGCAACUUAUGAGUCAUUUGAGUUUUCUUAUGUGAAAACUUUGUGGCAGAUGGCGUAUGUUGCAACUGGUGUUGGAUCACGUGCUAGAAGCCAAGCAGAGAAGCACGAGCACUUGACAAAUUUGAUUGACCCGAGGCGUUUGUAUAAACUCUACACUAGGUGUUCAGAUGAUGAGGAUUAAGCUGUGGAAGUUAAAUGGUUGAUCAAAGACGUAAGUGAUGCUUUAGGAAAGUUUAAUCUCUCUAACCAUAUAUGGUUCUGCAAGAAUUUAGAUUUGCAGGGAAUGAAAAAGAAGCUAGUGGAAAUCCGUAGAAGGUAUGGCAUUAUGAUGGAGAGGAUCAUAGAGGAGCAUAGAGACACGAGGAGAAAGAAGAUAGAAAAUGGCGAUGACGGGGAUGCAGACAAGUUGCUUGAUAUCCUACUUGACAUAUCAAAAGAUGAGAGCCUGGAGAUUAGAUUGAGCAUAGAGAACAUCAAGGCUUUUAUACUGGUAAACGUGUUUUUAAAAUUCAAAACAAAAAUGUAUAAUGUUUGAGAGAGCA